UUUGAUGGCGACCGGCGCACGGGUGAGUAACACGUAUCCAACCUGCCGAUGACUCGGGGAUAGCCUUUCGAAAGAAAGAUUAAUACCCGAUGGCAUAGUUCUUCCGCAUGGUAGAACUAUUAAAGAAUUUCGGUCAUCGAUGGGGAUGCGUUCCAUUAGGUUGUCGGCGGGGUAACGGCCCACCAAGCCUUCGAUGGAUAGGGGUUCUGAGAGGAAGGUCCCCCACAUUGGAACUGAGACACGGUCCAA
rnacentral:rRNA from 1 species